rnacentral:misc_RNA from 1 species
AUUAGUGAUCGAUCGCGAAGAUGACGAGUUUGACAGAAUAUAACUUUAUCGUAUGAACGUCACGAUGAGUUAUGGUUAAUCGAUCAUUAUCACGGAAAUCUGAUUCAAUUUAUUGUAACAAAGAAAGAAAGAAGUACGAAGAGAGUGUGUGUGAUUAUUCGCAAUGCGGUCGGUAGAAUCAGUUUAUUAUCAUCAAGUUCAAUUAUAAUUGUACGUGGCGUCGUAACAUUCGAGUCAGAGUUCGCCGAUUGUCAAGUAAACGGCUACAUUGAUAGUCUUUUCCUUUCCUUUUGCUUUAUAUAUCUAUAUAUGUAUGUAUGUACAAUCUCUUUUCUAAAUAUAC